AACAGAGGGGGCAAGCGUUGUUCAUGAUGACUGGGCGUAAAGGGUGCGUAGGUGGACACUAUUAUUAAAGCUUUUGAGGAAUGCUUGCGUAUUGACGCAAACCUACUUUUGCAAUAUUUGUCUAAGAGAUUUGGAGAGGUUAGUGGAAGGCAACGUUGAAUAGAAACAGUGUUUUUCAACAUGUUGAGUACCGCCGAAUGACAAAGGUAACUAACCGGCCUUAAUCUGACGCUGAGGCAACGAAACUUAGGUUCGCGAGAUGG
rnacentral:rRNA from 1 species